rnacentral:pre_miRNA from 1 species
UUAACCCGAAUUUGUAUGGAUUUGGAACGUUCAUCUACAUUUGCCGCUAGGGGCGCUGUUCCAACUUUAUACAAAUUUGAGUUA